GUCUGUAUCAGGAAUCCAUCUCAACAAAUGUAACUCUGUAUAAUUUGUGUUUUUAUUAUGUGCCAUGGCAUGAAUAAAAUCCAUAAUUGAAAUACAAUGUGAUAGCUCAGGAGUUAGUGCUCCAGGUAUCUCAUCUACGCCAAUCCACAAAAUCACAGGCUUGAUUCACAGGCCUGAAUCACAGGUUUGAUUCCUGGUCAAAGUCAGUGCAGCUAAAUAGCAUCUAGACCUCCAUGAUGUACAUGGAAACUACUGACAAGCUAAAUAUAUCUUUUAUGGUUACAGGUAAACUCUAAACACCAUAACCACUAUGUAGCAUGCCAACCGGGGGAGAGGGCAGGCCACACUGAGUGACAGGUGGUAUGGGGUUGCAUUAAGAAAUCUUAUCCACCUAUCACUCUUUGUAGCAUUGCUCUG